CCAGAACCGGCUCCAGGCAGGGAACCGCUCAGACGUCCAGAGGGAGCAAAGAUCAGCGGCUCAGACGUCCAGGAAGAUAAAACAAGAUGAGGCUCAUUCUGCAAACGCUGAUAACAUGUCUGCUGUUAUCAGCAUCUUCAUCAACGACAAUGACACCACCAACGACACCACCAACGACAA